rnacentral:lncRNA from 1 species
GUUAAAGGAAGUUUUCAUUAUAAAAGGAACAAUCAACUUAGAUGUUAAGAACUUCCUAUCUGAAAUAGAAGUACGCGUAAAUUAAUUUAUGAUGGAAAUUAUUACAUCCUGGAACAAAAUUAUAAAUAUGUGAAUAAAAGAAACCAAAAAGAAAAAUGCAAAAGGAACAAUUGUGAGGGAAAGAAGGUUGAGAAUUUAUGGAACUUUUUAAAAAAAUAAAUAUCGAAUACAUCAGAGGAAAUUCAACAUGGGGGGGGGGGGGGGGGGGCAAUAGUUCCAGCAACUAGACCUCCAAAAUCAACUAAAAACUUGAGCCCCAUCACUCAUUACAAAUAGAACAACUCAUGCACCAAAUGAUACCAAUUUCUUUGCAGACACCGAUUACCUCUGAAAAACUUCCACAUAAAUUCAACUCAAACGUUUCUUAGCACAUGAUUUUUUUUUUCUCUCAGUUAGUAGUAAGCAUACACUGGAUAACUUACUUUUAUGUUGAACUUUUCUUAAUCUGCGAGCGGUAAAAUUCCACAUACAUUCGGACUGAUACGAUGAAAGCAAUAGACAAAUAUAGAAAUGGGAUAAAGAGGUAGGAGGGAGGCAACCAGCGACGAGUGGCAAAGAAAUCGGAAGGCAGAAGCCCUCUCAAUGAACAUGUGAGAUCUGGAAAGCUGAAGCCAUAGAUGAGAUAGGAGGGAUGCUAUGAGAGACGAGAUAGGGUUAGGGAUUUGCAAAGAAGGGAAAUGAAGCAUUUGGAUUUCAGCAGGGAUGAGAAAAGAAUGCCUUAAGAAAUG